rnacentral:rRNA from 1 species
UUGCUCUUCAACGAGGAAUGCCUAGUAAGCGCAUGUCAUCAGCAUGCGUUGAUUACGUCCCUGCCCUUUGUACACACCGCCCGUCGCUACUACCGAUUGAAUGGCUCGGUGAGGCCUUCGGACUGGCCCAGGGAGGUCGGCAACGACCACCCAGGGCCGGAAAGUUGGUCAAACCCGGUCAUUUAGAGGAAGUAAAAGUCGUAACAAGGUCUCCGUAGGUGAACCUGCGGAGGGAUCAUUACAAGUUGACCCCGGCCCUCGGGCCGGGAUGUUCACAACCCUUUGUUGUCCGACUCUGUUGCCUCCGGGGCGACCCUGCCUCCGGGCGGGGGCCCCGGGUGGACAUUUCAAACUCUUGCGUAACUUUGCAGUCUGAGUAAAUUUAAUUAAUAAAUUAAAACUUUCAACAACGGAUCUCUUGGUUCUGGCAUCGAUGAAGAACGCAGCGAAAUGCGAUAAGUAAUGUGAAUUGCAGAAUUCAGUGAAUCAUCGAAUCUUUGAACGCACAUUGCGCCCCCUGGUAUUCCGGGGGGCAUGCCUGUUCGAGCGUCAUUUCACCACUCAAGCCUCGCUUGGUAUUGGGCGACGCGGUCCGCCGCGCGCCUCAAAUCGACCGGCUGGGUCUUUCGUCCCCUCAGCGUUGUGGAAACUAUUCGCUAAAGGGUGCCGCGGGAGGCCACGCCGUAAAACAACCCCAUUUCUAAGGUUGACCUCGGAUCAGGUAGGGAUACCCGCUGAACUUAAGCAUAUCAAUAAGCGGAGGA